AUUGAACGCUGGAGGUAUGCUUAACACAUGCAAGUCGAACGCGAACGUUCCUUCGGGAGCAAGUAGAGUGGCGGACGGGUGAGUAACGCGUAGGAAUCUACCUAGAUGUGGGGGAUAACAUGGAGAAAUUCAUGCUAAUACCGCAUAUGCCCCACGGGGUAAAGAGGGCCUCUUCUUGAAAGCUCUUGCAUUUAGAUGAGCCUGCGUCGGAUUUGCUUGUUGGCGGGGUAAUGGCCCACCAAGGCGACGAUCCGUAGCUGGUCUGAGAGGAUGAUCAGCCACAUCGGGACUGAGACACGGCCCGA
rnacentral:rRNA from 1 species